rnacentral:rRNA from 1 species
GACGAACGCUGGCGGCGUGCUUAACACAUGCAAGUCGAACGGAAAGGCCCUGCUUUUGUGGGGUGCUCGAGUGGCGAACGGGUGAGUAACACGUGAGUAACCUGCCCUUGACUUUGGGUUAACUUCAGGAAACUGGGGCUAAUACCGGAUAGGAGCUCCUGCUGCAUGUUGGGGGUUGGAAAGUUUCGGCGGUUGGGGAUGGACUCGCGGCUUAUCAGCUUGUUGGUGGGGUAGUGGCUUACCAAGGCUUUGACGGGUAGCCGGCCUGAGAGGGUGACCGGCCACAUUGGGACUGAGAUACGGCCCAGACUCCUACGGGAGGCAGCAGUGGGGAAUAUUGCACAAUGGGCGGAAGCCUGAUGCAGCAACGCCGCGUGCGGGAUGACGGCCUUCGGGUUGUAAACCGCUUUCGCCUGUGACGAAGCGUGAGUGACGGUAAUGGGUAAAGAAGCACCGGCUAACUACGUG